AUUGAACGCUGGCGGCAGGCCUAACACAUGCAAGUCGAGCGGAUGAAGGGAGCUUGCUCCUGGAUUCAGCGGCGGACGGGUGAGUAAUGCCUAGGAAUCUGCCUGGUAGUGGGGGAUAACGUCCGGAAACGGGCGCUAAUACCGCAUACGUCCUGAGGGAGAAAGUGGGGAUCUUCGGACCUCACGCUAUCAGAUGAGCCUAGGUCGGAUUAGCUAGUUGGUGGGGUAAAGGCCUACCAAGGCGACGAUCCGUAACUGGUCUGAGAGGAUGAUCAGUCACACUGGAACUGAGACACGGUCCAGACUCCUACGGGAGGCAGCAGUGGGGAAUAUUGGACAAUGGGCGAAAGCCUGAUCCAGCCAUGCCGCGUGUGUGAAGAAGGUCUUCGGAUUGUAAAGCACUUUAAGUUGGGAGGAAGGGCAGUAAGUUAAUACCUUGCUGUUUUGACGUUACCAACAGAAUAAGCACCGGCGAACUUCGU
rnacentral:rRNA from 1 species